CUGCGGACAGAGGAACCCUCCCGGCCGGGCCGCCCCGACGCUCAUGCCGCGGCCAGAGGAGCCUGCCAAGGAAGGUUUAUUCCAGAACAGCAGUGGCUACCGGCUGACAUCCAACCUCUGCAUAAGUCUGUGCCCAGGGAUAAUAACUGCUGAAUCCCUUACUUCACUGUAAGGAUGUAUGAGGGGACAUUCUGUCUUCAGCUGCACAUCAGUAUCACCUGGGGGCAACUUUUACUACAUACUGACCUCUGGCCCCCAUCCCAGAGACCCUAACGUGCAGCUAGGGCUGAGGCUGCGGAGAGACCAUCUGGGCUGGCAGCUGACCAGGAAGAAAAGAUGAAGAAGCACCUGCCUGCUGUCCUCACAGGCAGGCAAAGUCUGAGCAUUAAGGGAGAGUCCAAGGGCGCCACUGAUGCAGCACCUGUCGUGCUCCCAGACAACAGUAUUUUUCUUCUUAGUCCAGAUGCAUGAAGUUUUUAACUAUAUAUAAUCCGUUCUGUUUUCUGUAACCACUGAAGUAUCAUCUGUAACAAAAGAAUCUUCUAAGCAAUCCAGAUUUAAAAAGUAUACGUAAUUUUCAGAAAGUCAUUUUUAAUUUGUAUAAUGCCUUAUCUUGUAAAGUAGAUUGUAUUGCUUGAGGUUAGUUGCCCUGGAUGGUAAUAUUUCAAAUGACAACCUUCGGAAUAGAUUUUGUGUGAUUUCUUUGA